rnacentral:rRNA from 1 species
GUGGGGAAUUUUGGACAAUGGGCGCAAGCCUGAUCCAGCAAUGCCGCGUGCAGGAAGAAGGCCUUCGGGUUGUAAACUGCUUUUGUACGGAACGAAACGGUCCGUGUUAAUACCCUGGGCUAAUGACGGUACCGUAAGAAUAAGCACCGGCUAACUACGUGCCAGCAGCCGCGGUAAUACGUAGGGUGCAAGCGUUAAUCGGAAUUACUGGGCGUAAAGCGUGCGCAGGCGGUUUUGUAAGACAGGCGUGAAAUCCCCGGGCUCAACCUGGGAAUUGCGCUUGUGACUGCAAGGCUGGAGUGCGGCAGAGGGGGAUGGAAUUCCGCGUGUAGCAGUGAAAUGCGUAGAUAUGCGGAGGAACACCGAUGGCGAAGGCAAUCCCCUGGGCCUGCACUGACGCUCAUGCACGAAAGCGUGGGGAGCAAACAGGAUUAGAUAUCCCUGUAGUCC